GAUGAACGCUAGCGGGAGGCUUAACACAUGCAAGUCGAGGGGCAGCAUAGGGUAGCAAUACUCUGAUGGCGACCGGCAAACGGGUGAGUAACGCGUAUGCAACCUACCCUGUACAGGGGGAUAACCCGGAGAAAUUCGGACUAAUAUCCCGUAAUAAUAUCCGGAGGCAUCUUUGGAUAUUUAAAGUUUCGACGGUACGGGAUGGGCAUGCGUAACAUUAGCUGGUUGGUAAGGUAACGGCUUACCAAGGCUAUGAUGUUUAGGGGUCCUGAGAGGGUGGUCCCCCACACUGGUACUGAGACACGGACCAGACUCCUACGGGAGGCAGCAGUGAGGAAUAUUGGUCAAUGGGCGCAAGCCUGAACCAGCCAUCCCGCGUGCAGGAAGACGGCCCUAAUGGGUUGUAAACUGCUUUUCCAGGGAGAGAAACUUACGCACGUGUUGCGUGACUGACGGUACCCUGGGAAUAAGCAUCGGCUAACUCCGUG
rnacentral:rRNA from 1 species